rnacentral:rRNA from 1 species
CCUACGGGGGGCUGCAGUGGGGAAUAUUGGACAAUGGGGGGAACCCCGAUCCAGCCAUGCCGCGUGUGUGAAGAAGGCCCUCGGGUUGUAAAGCACUUUCAGUGAGGAAGAACGCCUGGUGGUUAAUACCCAUCAGGAAAGACAUCACUCACAGAAGAAGCACCGGCUAACUCCGUGCCAGCAGCCGCGGUAAUACGGAGGGUGCGAGCGUUAAUCGGAAUUACUGGGCGUAAAGCGCGCGUAGGUGGCUUGAUAAGCCGGUUGUGAAAGCCCCGGGCUCAACCUGGGAACGGCAUCCGGAACUGUCAAGCUAGAGUGCAGGAGAGGAAGGUAGAAUUCCCGGUGUAGCGGUGAAAUGCGUAGAGAUCGGGAGGAAUACCAGUGGCGAAGGCGGCCUUCUGGACUGACACUGACACUGAGGUGCGAAAGCGUGGGUAGCAAACAGGAUUAGAUACCCGAGUAGUC